AUGUUAAUCUAGAUGCAAAUACUCUCCUGGCUUCACAUGCUUUGUGUACGUUGAAUAUUUUUGUAUAUUAUCUUGGUAAAGAGUAAUGUUAUAGAAAAUCAGGGCUGAUUCCUUACUAAGUGGCCACGUGUUAUCACGGUCCACGUCACUGAGCAUUUUCCUUUGGAAAACUAGCUCUCCUUUUCCUGCGUGCGAGUAGGGCAGUCCGUCUGAAUUUAUUUGCGUUAUAGGCCAGGAUGCGACCUUGGGGUUGGUUUUGUGAGCGCCAACUGUUCUUGCGGCGGGGACAUGCGAUGAUGUUCCAUCGUCCGCGGAAGCACGGGAAGCUGCACGGCCAGAUGUUGAGCAACCUGGCGCCCAACCGGUUUUGGAAACCGGAGGUGAUUCGGGAUGCGUUUGAUAGGGUUUUAAUCUGAGUGGUCUCUGAUGUGUUUGUUAGGGUUUGAGGUUUUUUGAUUGGAACAAUGUUGACUAAAUUCUAGACGAACUGAAACGGGGCGAAGGGGCUGAGCUUUCGCGGCAAGAGGCCGUGGAACUAGGGGAUCCAGCGGCGGUAUUACUUGGAAACUCUUUGCAGCGGUGUGAUCUAGCUGUAGUAUUACAUUAUGGGGACUCUGAUCGCUCGGUUCAACGACAACGGUGGACCGGUCCAUGGGUUCUACAGCUCGCGCCCACUGUCGUUUUGGGCAUAUGGUUGAUGUGCAUGGAUACAGGGGCACAGCCGGCUGUGAUAAGAGUGGAUGGGGAUGCAUGCGUUAACAAUUUUUAUUCUUGCAGCUUGCAAUGCCUUGCCCAUUGUCCCGCAGGGAUUCUAUUGGAGGCGGCCUAAAAUAACAUUCUUAGGUUGGUUGGAAUUGGGUCAAAGCCGCAGCAAAAGCGGUUGGGACCAUACUCAACCUUGGGACACAAAUGGUGAACUUGGAAUACAAACGGCCCUCCUGGGUGCAUCAGGACGAGCUGCCAAUAUCAAGAUGGUCUGCUCAACAUUUUCACUUAGCUAAUAUAUAAAAUAAAAAAGAACAUAUUUAUUGCAUUUUUUUUUUUUUUAUAUUUUUUAUGCACCAAAGAAAAUCAUAUUGUAAUGACUGAGCAUGUUCAAAUCAUCUUCCGUGAAUUGCUUUUCA